rfam:Thecamonas trahens ATCC 50062 unplaced genomic scaffold supercont1.23, whole genome shotgun sequence.
GUCGACGUGGCCGAGUGGUUAAGGCGAUCGACUGCUAAUUGGUUGUGCUCUGCACGCGCGUGUUCGAAUCACGUCGUCGACG